UACGUAGGGGGGCAAGCGUUGUCCGGAUUCAUUGGGCGUAAAGAGCGUGUAGGCGGCCAGGUAGGUCGGUUGUGAAAACUGGAGGCUCAACCUUCAGAGGUCGACCGAAAACCAUCUGGCUAGAGUCCGGGAGAGGAGAGUGGAAUUCCUGGUGUAGCGGUGAAAUGCGUAGAUAUCGGAAGGAACACCAGUGGCGAAAGCGGCUUCCUGGUCCAGCAGUCGACGUUCAGGCACGAAAGC
rnacentral:rRNA from 1 species